GGAGGGCGGCGGCGGCGGCGGGGGUGUGGGGUCCUUCCCCCGCCCCCCCCCCCACGCCUCCUCCCCUCC
rnacentral:rRNA from 1 species